rnacentral:pre_miRNA from 1 species
ACAACCUUCAGACCGUCGGUCUACCGAGCAAUAUCACCCGCUCGGUGAAAUAUCUUCCCUUUCGUCGU